UUUUAAUUUUAAGGUUUUAAUGACUCAAAAAAAUUGAACUGAAUUUUAGGAUAUUGGAUUUAUUUUUUUUAAAAAAUAAUAAUAUAAAUAAUAAUAGGGUUUUAUAAAGGGGGACAUGGGUCAUGCCAUAUGGAGGAAAUUUAAUAUAGUAGUUGAUGAUAAAAUGAUAGAGAGAGAGAGAAAAAAAAGAUGUGAUUAUGAUUUUGCUUCAAAGGCAAUGAUUGGGUAUAAUAAAUAAAUAAAUAAA
rnacentral:lncRNA from 1 species